AAAAUGACUCUCGGCAACGGAUAUCCC
rnacentral:rRNA from 2 species